rnacentral:rRNA from 1 species
ACUCCUACGGGAGGCAGCAGUGGGGAAUAUUGCACAAUGGGCGCAAGCCUGAUGCAGCAACGCCGUGUGAGUGAAGAAGGUUUUCGGAUCGUAAAACUCUGUACCUAAAGGGAAAGAAAAAUGACGGUACCUUAGGAGGAACGCCCGGCUAACUACGUGCCAGCAGCCGCGGUAAUACGGUAGGGGCAAGCGUUAUCCGGAAUCACGUGGGCGUAAAGGGUGCGUAGGCGGCUUAGCAAGCCAGGGGUGAAAGGCAUUGGCUCAACCAAUGUAAGCCUUUGGAACUGUUAAGCUUGAGUGCAGGAGAGGUAAGUGGAAUUUCCUAGUGUAGAGGUGAAAUUCGUAGAUAUUAGGAGGAACACCAGUGGCGAAGCGACUUACUGGACUGUAACUGACGCUGAUGCACGAAAGCGUGGGU